CCCUUGGAUCGCAAGGCAUUCCAUAGCAGCGGUGUGAGCGAGUUGGCCUUCUCGACCCUCCACGAAACAGUGUGCGCCAGCCGGGGACAUCCCGGCAAUUCAGUGAAGGUGUUCAAUUACAAGACGAACCAGGUACUCCUAGACGUAUCGCUCAACGUCGGACGUGGCCUCUCAUGGAGCCUAGGCCUUCCAGUGUUGGCUUUUGGCGGUGAUGGCCGGGUGCACCUUUUCCAGGUCCUCUCUACCUAAGGACCUUCCUCAUUCACCACCAGGGGUCGCCAGCGCAGCUCCCCCAUCUUCGUCUUGUACAUAAGAAUUGCCAUUGUUCUGCAGUCGAUGUUAUAAAGCGAACGUGUUCUUUCUCAA